UCGUAGGAAAUCGAAGCUGAUGGUCUA
rnacentral:sRNA from 1 species